rnacentral:rRNA from 1 species
GACGAACGCUGGCGGCGUGCCUAAUACAUGCAAGUUGAGCGCUGAAGGUUGGUACUUGUACCAACUGGAUGAGCAGCGCACGGGUGAGUAACGCGUGGGGAAUCUGCCUUUGAGCGGGGGACAACAUUUGGAAACGAAUGCUAAUACCGCAUAAAAACUUUAAACACAAGUUUUAAGUUUGAAAGAUGCAAUUGCAUCACUCAAAGAUGAUCCCACGUUGUAUUAGCUAGUUGGUGAGGUAAAGGCUCACCAAGGCGAUGAUACAUAGCCGACCUGAGAGGGUGAUCGGCCACAUUGGGACUGAGACACGGCCCAAACUCCUACGGGAGGCAGCAGUAGGGAAUCUUCGGCAAUGGACGAAAGUCUGACCGAGCAACGCCGCGUGAGUGAAGAAGGUUCUCGGAUCGUAAAACUCUGUUGGUAGAGAAGAACGUUGGUGAGAGUGGAAAGCUCAUCAAGUGACGGUAACUACCCAGAAAGGGACGGCUAACUACGUG